AAAGAAACCAACAGGGAUUGCCCUAGUAACGGCGAGUGAAGCGGCAACAGCUCAAAUUUGAAAUCUGGCUCUCGGGCCCGAGUUGUAAUUUGUAGAGGAUGAUUUUGGCGCGGUGCCUUCCGAGUUCCCUGGAACGGGACGCCUUAGAGGGUGAGAGCCCCGUACGGUUGGACACCAAGCCUCUGUAAAUCUCCUUCGACGAGUCGAGUAGUUUGGGAAUGCUGCUCUAAAUGGGAGGUAAAUUUCUUCUAAAGCUAAAUACCGGCCAGAGACCGAUAGCGCACAAGUAGAGUGAUCGAAAGAUGAAAAGCACUUUGAAAAGAGGGUUAAAUAGCACGUGAAAUUGUUGAAAGGGAAGCAUUUACUACCAGACCUUUGCCUUGCGGAUCAUGUGGUGUUCUCACCUCUGCACUUCGCUUGGUUUAGGCCAGCAUCGGUUUUUGUUGGGGGAUAAAAGCUUUAGGAACGUAGCUCCCUCGGGAGUGUUAUAGCCUUUUGCAUAAUACCCUGACGGGGACCGAGGACCGCGCUUCGGCAAGGAUGCUGGCAUAAUGGUAGUCAAUGAC
rnacentral:rRNA from 1 species